rnacentral:rRNA from 1 species
GACGAACGCUGGCGGCGUGCCUAAUACAUGCAAGUAGAACGCUGAAGAGAGGAGCUUGCUCUUCUUGGAUGAGUUGCGAACGGGUGAGUAACGCGUAGGUAACCUGCCUGGUAGCGGGGGAUAACUAUUGGAAACGAUAGCUAAUACCGCAUAACAACAGUUGUUGCAUGACAGCUGUUUAAAAGAUGCAAUUGCAUCACUACCAGAUGGACCUGCGUUGUAUUAGCUAGUUGGUGAGGUAACGGCUCACCAAGGCGACGAUACAUAGCCGACCUGAGAGGGUGGUCCGCCCCCACGGGACCUGGGCCACGCCCCGGACUCCUCCGGAGGCCGCCAGAGGGAAUUCUCCGCAAUUGGGGGAACCCUGACCGAGCAACGCCGCGUGAGUGAAGAAGGUUUUCGGAUCGUAAAGCUCUGUUGUAAGAGAAGAACGGGUGUGAGAGUGGAAAGUUCACACUGUGACGGUAUCUUACCAGAAAGGGACGGCUAACUACGUG